GCCGCCGUGGUGGAAUGGUAGACACCGCAGACUUAAAAUCUGCUGAGAGUAAUCUCGUGCCGGUUCGAGUCCGGCCGGCGGCA
rnacentral:tRNA from 1 species